GUGGCACUAGUAUAGUGGUUAGUACUUCUCGUUGUGGCGUCUAGACGAAACCGAGAGGACCCAGAUUCGAUUUCUGGGUGCCACA